AUCCCCUUGACUGCACUUGCUCAAACAUUUACUUUUUAGAAUGGUACAAAGAAAACAUGCAAAAACUCGAAGACAUAGAGGACACUUUUUGCGCAAAUCCCCCAUUGUUGAGGGGAGUCAAGGUCUCUGACGUCAUGCUGUCCUGUAGUAUGGCAGCUGUAGGCAUUUUCUUUCUCAUUGUAUUCUUGCUCUUGUUUGCUGUUUUGUUGAUUUUUGCAGUGAAACGUUUUCUCAGGUGGA
rnacentral:lncRNA from 1 species